rnacentral:rRNA from 1 species
UGGGGAAUAUUGCACAAUGGGCGCAAGCCUGAUGCAGCAACGCCGCGUGAACGAUGAAGGUCUUCGGAUCGUAAAGUUCUGUUGCAGGGGAAGAUAAUGACGGUACCCUGUGAGGAAGCCCCGGCUAACUACGUGCCAGCAGCCGCGGUAAUACGUAGGGGGCUAGCGUUAUCCGGAUUUACUGGGCGUAAAGGGUGCGUAGGUGGUCCUUCAAGUCGGUGGUUAAAGGCUACGGCUCAACCGUAGUAAGCCGCCGAAACUGGAGGACUUGAGUGCAGGAGAGGAAGGUGGGAUUCCCAGUGUAGCGGGGAAAUGCGUAGAUAUUGGGAGGAACACCAGUAGCGAAGGCGGCUUUCUGGACUGCAACUGACACUGAGGCACGAAAGCGUGGGUGGCAAACAGG